rnacentral:rRNA from 1 species
UACAUGGGGUGCAAACGUUGCUCGGAAUCAUUGGGCGUAAAGCGCGCGUAGGCGGUUACUUAAGUCGGAUGUGAAAGCCCUCGGCUUAACCGAGGAAGUGCAUCCGAAACUGAGUAGCUAGAGUACUAAAGAGGGUCGCGGAAUUCCCGGUGUAGAGGUGAAAUUCGUAGAUAUCGGGAGGAACACCUGUGGCGAAAGCGGCGCACUGGACCAUAACUGACGCUGAGGCGCGAAAGCUAGGGGAGCAAACAGG